rnacentral:misc_RNA from 1 species
AAGGAUCAUUAUCAAACAGCGGCCUUCGGGCCUUGCUGCACCCUUGUCUUUUGCGUACCGUAUGUUUCCUCGGCGGGCUUGCCUGCCGGUUGGACAUUCUCAAAACCUUUUUGUAGUUGCAAUCAGCGUCAGAAAACAAAUAAUUAUUACAACUUUCAACAACGGAUCUCUUGGUUCUG